rnacentral:rRNA from 1 species
UACGUAGGGACCAAGCGUUGUUCGGAUUUACUGGGCGUAAAGGGCGCGUAGGCGGCAAUUCAAGUCAUCUGUGAAAUCUCCGGGCUUAACUCGGAACGGUCAGAUGAUACUGCUUUGCUAGAGUGCGGAAGGGGCAAUCGGAAUUCUCGGUGUAGCGGUGAAAUGCGUAGAUAUCGAGAGGAACACCCGUGGCGAAGGCGGCUUCCUGGCCCGGGCCUGACGCUGAGGCGCGAAAGCGUGGGGAGCGAUCCGG